GAUGAACGCUGGCGGCGUGCCUAAUACAUGCAAGUCGAGCGAACGGACGAGAAGCUUGCUUCUCUGAUGUUAGCGGCGGACGGGUGAGUAACACGUGGAUAACCUACCUAUAAGACUGGGAUAACUUCGGGAAACCGGAGCUAAUACCGGAUAAUAUUUUGAACCGCAUGGUUCAAAAGUGAAAGACGGUCUUGCUGUCACUUAUAGAUGGAUCCGCGCUGCAUUAGCUAGUUGGUAAGGUAACGGCUUACCAAGGCAACGAUGCAUAGCCGACCUGAGAGGGUGAUCGGCCACACUGGAACUGAGACACGGUCCAGACUCCUACGGGAGGCAGCAGUAGGGAAUCUUCCGCAAUGGGCGAAAGCCUGACGGAGCAACGCCGCGUGAGUGAUGAAGGUCUUCGGAUCGUAAAACUCUGUUAUUGGGGAAGAACAUAUGUGUAAGUAACUGUGCACAUCGUGACGGUACCUAAUCAGAAAGCCACGGCUAACUACGUG
rnacentral:rRNA from 1 species